GAUGAACGCUGGCGGCGUGCCUAAUACAUGCAAGUCGAGCGAACGGACGAGAAGCUUGCUUCUCUGAUGUUAGCGGCGGACGGGUGAGUAACACGUGGAUAACCUACCUAUAAGACUGGGAUAACUUCGGGAAACCGGAGCUAAUACCGGAUAAUAUUUUGAACCGCAUGGUUCAACAGUGAAAGACGGUCUUUCUUUCACUUAUAGAUGGAUCCGCGCUGCAUUAGCUAGUUGGUAAGGUAACGGCUUACCAAGGCAACGAUGCAUAGCCGACCUGAGAGGGUGAUCGGCCACACUGGAACUGAGACACGGUCCAGACUCCUACGGGAGGCAGCAGUAGGGAAGCUUCCGCAAUGGGCGAAAGCCUGACGGAGCAACGCCGCGUGAGUGAUGAAGGUCUUCGGAUCGUAAAACUCUGUUAUUAGGGAAGAACAUAUGUGUAAGUAACUGUGCACAUCUUGACGGUACCUAAUCAGAAAGCCACGGCUAACUACGUG
rnacentral:rRNA from 1 species